UAAGACCGUGGCUGUGAUAGUGUGUAUACUGAUAAAUGAUAAGAGCGCUUUUACAAUUUUCUUAUCAUACUCCGGGAGAACUAGAAGUCUAGAAUGUUCCCAUCGUCAGAUGAAUCAUGAAUACAUGAAUCGUUCCCGUCUCUAAACUAGUAUUAGUGAACGCUCUACUGAAGCUGCAACACCAUUCACCAUCGCGAUGAAAUAUUUAAGUCUGUACCACUCUGUACUCUGUUCUCUGUAGUCCAUGAUAUCUAUAUUUCUACAUUCUAAAUCAGUUAUUUUUUGUCAGUAGAUUUAAGAUUGUUUGAAAUUGAUUAGGUACCUAUAUAGUUAAUAUUUAUAUUAUUAUGCUCUACUAGUUUCGGAUUCUAGUCUAUGAUUGGAUUUUUAUAUCAUAUAUAUCUAUUAAAAAUGACGUCGUUGAAAUUACUACAAUCAUUAGUGUUAAAAAAUGAUUUUUUUACCAAAACAUUAUCUAAACGAGAGUAUUACCGUCUUUUCAAUCGAUCACAGUUUAAAAUUGAUUUACUUCAACAUCAUAUAAAAUUCUACUCUUAUGGCAANCUCAACAUACACCAGUCUUAUAUGUCUAGACGUUUUUCUGUGUCUAAUAAUCUAACUGAAAUAGAUUUUGAACAAGCNUGCAAUGAAACAUUAGAAUCGUUAUAUGAAUAUUUUGAACAAAUUGUUGAAGAUAACCCACAACUUGAAAACCCUGAUAUUUUAUUUAGUGAUGGUGUGUUAACAAUUCAAUUAGGUGAACCAUAUGGCACAUAUGUUAUUAAUCGACAGACACCAAAUAAACAAAUUUGGUUGAGUUCACCAAUAAGUGGUCCAAAACGAUAUGAUUUUAAUGGUACAAAAUGGAUUUACAAACAUGAUGGUGUCAGCUUACAUGAAUUACUGACUUCUGAGCUAUCUAAACAAUUUUCAUUUGAUGUAAACUUUUCUAAAUGCAUAUUUAGUGGUAACUUAAGUAAAUAGUUGUAUUAUAUUAAUUUGUUAAUAAUAAGUAAAUAUUACAAACCGUAGUUUGAGUUGUUAAAAUUAAAAAAUAUAUAUCUAUAUUGUUCAAACAGUUACUAAUCAAGGUUAUGAAAUUUUGAGUGCCUGAUUUAUCACCUUUUUCCAUAUUUUGUUGUUGAUCAUUAACCAUUUGAAAAAACUUGUAAAAUUAUACCUCAGCAGUCAAUCAUUAUUGCUGGACUAAGAAUAUGAAUGUUUCAAUGGGUUAACAUUGGCUAUUCAUGAGAAAGUAAUAUUUGAUCCUGAAAAAUGUAUUGAUAUUAUAUCUCAAAAAUCAAGAUAAGGGUACCUAUAUUACUUCUAUAAAUGAAUAGUUCUAAGAAAUAAUUACAUUUAUUAAAAUUAAUCCAAGGUAAUUAUGUUGUAUUUAAAUAUUAUAAUAAUAAACUUAUUAUUAAGUCAUACACAAAAAUGACAUAAGAUCAAAAAAAUAGAUAUAAAAAAAGUAAAGCCAAAUUAUAAAUUCUUUGAUUCAGCUCAUAAUAUGUUAGGUGGUCAUACCCCCUGUAUUAUACAUGAAAGUACCUACUCUAUUUCAACUGUAUGUCUCAUUGUCCCAACAUAAGCUUCCAAAUAUAUCUAUGGUUGUACCUAGAAAAAAUUAUAAAGAAAAAGACAACAUUUAAAAUGUAAUCACCAUUUAUCUGUUUUAAAUAUCAGUAAAUGUAUUAUUAUGCAUUUGUAGAAUAACAUUGUUUUUGCCAUAUUAUUAUGUUAAACAAUUUGUAUGUAUCAAAUUUGAUUAUUUAAAUUUAAAGUUAUGUUUGCUUUUUUUUAUAUGGAUCACAGCUAGNGCAUAGAGGUGACAAUGAUCAAUAAUUAGAUAUAAUAUAGGUCAAUAUGUGUAUAUUAUUUGUGUAUAGGUAUAUGGUUUUAUUUUUAAUGCCAGUCUCUAUGAAAUAUUUAUAAAAAUAUUAAAUUUUGUUAGUUUUUACCCAGUCUUUCAUGAUUUUCUGUUUGGAAAUAUUUAUCUGAAAAAUAUUUGACUUUAUAUUAUUGAUGG
rnacentral:misc_RNA from 1 species